rnacentral:rRNA from 1 species
AGGUAAGAGGUUCUGACUACACGAUGGGGCUAUAGCUCAGCUGGGAGAGCGCCUGCUUUGCACGCAGGAGGUCUCCGAAUGGGGAAACCCAGUGUGACUCGUCACACUAUCAUUAACUGAAUCCAUAGGUUAAUGAGGCGAACCGGGGGAACUGAAACAUCUAAGUACCCCGAGGAAAAGAAAUCAACCGAGAUUCCCCCAGUAGCGGCGAGCGAACGGGGAGGAGCCCAGAGCCUGAAUCAGCAUGUGUGUUAGUGGAAGCGUCUGGAAAGGCGCGCGAUACAGGGUGACAGCCCCGUACACAAAAGCGCAUGUGCUGUGAGCUCGAUGAGUAGGGCGGGACACGUGGUAUCCUGUCUGAAUAUGGGGGGACCAUCCUCCAAGGCUAAAUACUCCUGACUGACCGAUAGUGAACCAGUACCGUGAGGGAAAGGCGAAAAGAACCCCGGCGAGGGGAGUGAAAAAGAACCUGAAACCGUGUACGUACAAGCAGUGGGAGCACAGGUUUACCUGUGUGACUGCGUACCUUUUGUAUAAUGGGUCAGCGACUUAUAUUCUGUAGCAAGGUUAACCGAAUAGGGGAGCCGGAGGGAAACCGAGUCUUAAUUGGGCGUUAAGUUGCAGGGUAUAGACCCGAAACCCGGUGAUCUAGCCAUGGGCAGGUUGAAGGUUGGGUAACACUAACUGGAGGACCGAACCGACUAAUGUUGAAAAAUUAGCGGAUGACCUGUGGCUGGGGGUGAAAGGCCAAUCAAACCGGGAGAUAGCUGGUUCUCCCCGAAAGCUAUUUAGGUAGCGCCUCGUGAAUUCAUCUCCGGGGGUAGAGCACUGUUUCGGCUAGGGGGCCAUCCCGGCUUACCAACCCGAUGCAAACUGCGAAUACCGGAGAAUGUUAUCACGGGAGACACACGGCGGGUGCUAACGUCCGUCGUGAAGAGGGAAACAACCCAGACCGCCAGCUAAGGUCCCAAAGUCAUGGUUAAGUGGGAAACGAUGUGGGAAGGCCCAGACAGCCAGGAUGUUGGCUUAGAAGCAGCCAUCAUUUAAAGAAAGCGUAAUAGCUCACUGGUCGAGUCGGCCUGCGCGGAAGAUGUAACGGGGCUAAACCAUGCACCGAAGCUGCGGCAGCGACGCUGAUGCGUUGUUGGGUAGGGGAGCGUUCUGUAAGCCUGCGAAGGUGGCCUGUGAGGGUUGCUGGAGGUAUCAGAAGUGCGAAUGCUGACAUAAGUAACGAUAAAGCGGGUGAAAAGCCCGCUCGCCGGAAGACCAAGGGUUCCUGUCCAACGUUAAUCGGGGCAGGGUGAGUCGACCCCUAAGGCGAGGCCGAAAGGCGUAGUCGAUGGGAAACGGGUUAAUAUUCCCGUACUUGGUGUUACUGCGAAGGGGGGACGGAGAAGGCUAUGUUGGCCGGGCGACGGUUGUCCCGGUUUAAGCGUGUAGGUGUGUGUUCCAGGUAAAUCCGGUUCACUUUAACACUGAGGCGUGAUGACGAGGCACUACGGUGCUGAAGCAACAAAUGCCCUGCUUCCAGGAAAAGCCUCUAAGCAUCAGGUAACAUCAAAUCGUACCCCAAACCGACACAGGUGGUCAGGUAGAGAAUACCAAGGCGCUUGAGAGAACUCGGGUGAAGGAACUAGGCAAAAUGGUGCCGUAACUUCGGGAGAAGGCACGCUGACACGUAGGUGAAGUGAUUUACUCAUGGAGCUGAAGUCAGUCGAAGAUACCAGCUGGCUGCAACUGUUUAUUAAAAACACAGCACUGUGCAAACACGAAAGUGGACGUAUACGGUGUGACGCCUGCCCGGUGCCGGAAGGUUAAUUGAUGGGGUCAGCGCAAGCGAAGCUCCUGAUCGAAGCCCCGGUAAACGGCGGCCGUAACUAUAACGGUCCUAAGGUAGCGAAAUUCCUUGUCGGGUAAGUUCCGACCUGCACGAAUGGCGUAAUGAUGGCCAGGCUGUCUCCACCCGAGACUCAGUGAAAUUGAACUCGCUGUGAAGAUGCAGUGUACCCGCGGCAAGACGGAAAGACCCCGUGAACCUUUACUAUAGCUUGACACUGAACAUUGAGCCUUGAUGUGUAGGAUAGGUGGGAGGCUUUGAAGUGUGGACGCCAGUCUGCAUGGAGCCGACCUUGAAAUACCACCCUUUAAUGUUUGAUGUUCUAACGUGGACCCGUGAUCCGGGUUGCGGACAGUGUCUGGUGGGUAGUUUGACUGGGGCGGUCUCCUCCUAAAGAGUAACGGAGGAGCACGAAGGUUGGCUAAUCCUGGUCGGACAUCAGGAGGUUAGUGCAAUGGCAUAAGCCAGCUUGACUGCGAGCGUGACGGCGCGAGCAGGUGCGAAAGCAGGUCAUAGUGAUCCGGUGGUUCUGAAUGGAAGGGCCAUCGCUCAACGGAUAAAAGGUACUCCGGGGAUAACAGGCUGAUACCGCCCAAGAGUUCAUAUCGACGGCGGUGUUUGGCACCUCGAUGUCGGCUCAUCACAUCCUGGGGCUGAAGUAGGUCCCAAGGGUAUGGCUGUUCGCCAUUUAAAGUGGUACGCGAGCUGGGUUUAGAACGUCGUGAGACAGUUCGGUCCCUAUCUGCCGUGGGCGCUGGAGAACUGAGGGGGGCUGCUCCUAGUACGAGAGGACCGGAGUGGACGCAUCACUGGUGUUCGGGUUGUCAUGCCAAUGGCACUGCCCGGUAGCUAAAUGCGGAAGAGAUAAGUGCUGAAAGCAUCUAAGCACGAAACUUGCCCCGAGAUGAGUUCUCCCUGAGACUU